CAGCAGCUGGCUGAUGAUUAUAAAAACGAUGGCCUUCCUAAGCAACUAUUGGCCUCAUCGGAGGUCAGAGCCCCGUGAUAAACAUUGCAGUGCCACCUUUGCUGCCGUUUAUUUUGAACAAUUCUAUAAAUCAGUCAAGUUCUGGUAAAAUUUCGAUUUGGGAAUGAAUUUUAAUCCGGUUGUAUAAAAAUUAAAAAGUAAUAACGCUAAUAACUAAUAUUAUCAUACAGAUUCUAAGGUGUACGUAAGAGGCAAGAACGUUAAAAAUAAACUAGAAUUAUCUAACUAUUAUUUUUUAAACAAAUAAAUUCUAAAAAUAUAAUAUAGAGUAUCGGUACUCGGAGUCGAAUUUACUAUAGUUAUCACUCGAAAAAAUUAUAACCGAUCACAUUUUACAAUAAUAUUUGUCUGCGGCGCGGCGCGAUCAGAGAAUUUAAAACCGCUAAAGAUUGGCAAACCAUCAAACGAAUUGACAUUUUUAGUCACACUCGCGGAAUUAUGUAUAUCGUUGUAUAAAUGUCUUCAUAAAAAUGACUCUCAUAAUAUUAUAUAUUAUCAGUUCCUAUACGUGUCCGAAUGUCCGCCUUUUGCGGUAGUGUAGCGAUAACUAGCAAAGGAGCAAAAUAUACGCGUGUAUCCAGCUUAACAUAACACAGUAGUAAUAUGUUUCACAACGUUGACCUGUCCGUGACUCGUGUACCGGACCAUUGAAUGUGUUACUAAUGAGUGAACAGAUUGCGCUGAAACAAAAAUAAAAAACGUGAAAUAAUAUUAUUUCCGAAGGGUGAAAAAACCGAUUUAAUCGUGACUUAUUUCCAAAACAAUAUACAAAUUCAACCGUCAGUGAAUUAAUUCGUAAGCACUAAAAAAUGCAAUGAUUUUUAGAUAGAAGACUGCAGAGUCGAAACCAAAGCUCGUACGCGCGUCGGAACCGAUCAUACAUCACCUAGAAUCUUGUGUCAAGUGGUGUACAACACUUGUUAAUCCUUUUCUUUGUUAUGCGUUUGUUCAUUUUUUAAAACUCUUAAAUAUUCACAAAAAUCUAAUAAUUCUAAUAGCUCAGAGUAAAUAUUAUAAAUAGUUGAACAUGAUAAUAUUUUCAGAUCCAUAGAUUUUGUUACACCAUUUAAGGUCAACGAACUUUUUUUUUUCAAAUCAAGACAUCCCUUUUUUACUUUAAAUUAUCAAACAGUGAUUGUUUUAUUUUAAUUUUAAAUAUUGAUGCAUCUUGAUAAACAUGUUUAUGGAUAAUUAUGAAUUAAUUAUUAAUUUCCGAAUUAUUAAACUCAUAUAUACCGAGGAUAUUAUUUACA